UACGUAGGUGGCAAGCGUUGUUCGGAAUGACUGGGCGUAAAGGGCGUGUAGGUGGACUGAUCAGUCGGGUGUGAAAUAUCCAGGCUCAACCUGGAGGGUGCAUCCGAUACGGUCAGUCUUGAGUGCAGGAGAGGGCAGUGGAAUUCCCAGUGUAGCGGUGAAAUGCGUAGAUAUUGGGAGGAACACCAGUGGCGAAGGCGGCUGCCUGGACUGUAACUGACACUGAGGCGCGAAGGCGUGGGGAGCAAACAGGA
rnacentral:rRNA from 1 species